AGCUACAGGCUUAACACAUGCAAGUCGUGGGGAAACGAUUGGGAAGCUUGCUUCCCAAGGCGUCGACCGGCAGACGGGUGAGUAACGCGUAUCGAACCUCCCCUGCGGUGGGGGAUAGGCGUCCGAAAGGACAAUUAAUACCCCAUCGCCAGCGCGCCCCGCAUGGGGUGCGCUGUAAAGGAGCGAUCCGCCGCAGGAUGGCGAUGCGUACUAUUAGGUAGUAGGCGGGGUUACGGCCCACCUAGCCGACGAUAGUUAGGGGCCCCGAGAGGGGGGUCCCCCACAUUGGGACUGAGACACGGCCCAAACUCCUACGGGAGGCAGCAGUGGGGAAUAUUGGUCAAUGGGCGGAAGCCUGAACCUGCCAAGUAGCGUGAGGGACGAAGGCAUUACGUGUCGUAAACCUCUUUUGUCCGGGGGUAAAGUCGCCCACGCGUGGGCGUUUGCAUUGACCGGACGAAUAAGGACCGGCUAAUUCCGUGCCAGCAGCCGCGGUAAUACGGAAGGUUCGGGCGUUAUCCGGAAUUAUUGGGUUUAAAGGGAGCGCAGGCGGCCGUUUAAGCCUGCCGUGAAAAGUCAGCGCUCAACGCUGGCCUUGCGGUGGGAACUGGACGGCUUGAAUGAGUGGGGCGCGGAUGGAAUUCGUGGUGUAGCGGUGAAAUGCUUAAAUAUCACGAAGAACGCCGGAGGCGGAAGCGGUCCGCGCCCGCCCCAUUGACGCUGAGGCUCGAAGGUGCGGGGUAUCGAACAGGAAUUAAGAUACCCUGGUAGUCCCCGCACUUAAACGUUGAACGCCCGGCAUGCGCCCCGUAGGGGCGCGUGUCCAAGAGGAAAUCGUUAAGCGUUCCACCUGGGGAGUACGCCGGCAACGGGGAAACUCAAAGGAAUUGACGGGGGCCCGCCACAAGCGGAGGAACAUGUGGUUUAAUUCGAUGGAUACGCGAGGGACCUUACCCGGGCUUGAAUUGCCAGUGGCGCAAGGAGAGAUCCUUGCUUCCUUCGGGACGCUGGUGAAGGUGCUGCAUGGUUGUCGUCAGCUCGUGCCGAGAGGUGUCGGCUCAAGUGCCAUAACGAGCGCAACCCCCGCUUGCGGUUGCCAUCAGGUGAAGCUGGGCACUCCGCAGGGACUGCCCCCGCAAGGGGCGAGGAGGGGGGG
rnacentral:rRNA from 1 species